AGUGAACGCUGGCGGUAGGCCUAACACAUGCCAGUCGAACGGCAGCACAGUAAGAGCUUGCUCUUACGGGUGGCGAGUGGCGGACGGGUGAGGAAUACAUCGGAAUCUACUUUUUCGUGGGGGAUAACGUAGGGAAACUUACGCUAAUACCGCAUACGACCUACGGGUGAAAGCAGGGGAUCUUCGGACCUUGCGCGAUUGAAUGAGCCGAUGUCGGAUUAGCUAGUUGGCGGGGUAAAGGCCCACAAAGGCGACGAUCCGUAGCUGGUCUGAGAGGAUGAUCAGCCACACUGGAACUGAGACACGGUCCAGACUCCUACGGGAGGCAGCAGUGGGGAAUAUUGGACAAUGGGCGCAAGCCUGAUCCAGCCAUACCGCGUGGGUGAAGAAGGCCUUCGGGUUGUAAAGCCCUUUUGUUGGGAAAGAAAAGCAGCAGGUUAAUACCCCGCUGUUCUGACGGUACCCAAAGAAUAAGCACCGGCUAACUUCGUG
rnacentral:rRNA from 1 species